AAAAAAAAAAAAAAAGACGCAGUGCACCACUGUAGUCAUGCUAAAAGUACAACUAAAUAUUUAAAGGAAGGCGGAGGAAGAUCUUUCAUUAAAGGAGAAAAUUGGAAAUACACCAAAUCUGAAACUUUAAAAAGUUGUUUCCGAGUAUAACACAAAUAGUAUAGAUACAAAAAAUGUAGAUUGUGUUUUGUGCCUGAAUAUUCAGAAUACAGGGCCCUGUGAGUGAUAAAAUCAAAUAGACACAUCUCUAGUCCCCCCCUUCAUUUGUUUCCCUAAUUUUGUUUUCAUACUUAGUGUCCAAAUCAUCUUCCUCCUGCAUAUGCUGAGAUUUUUUUAAGCAUGCAUGUUUUUUUUUCUUUCAGUUUUUUGGGUAGCUUCUAGUGAGUUCCAAUACAAAAAAAGGUGUAUACAUAAAAUAAGUACAAAAAAGAAGUGCUUUUAUACUAACACCUUAAAGCUAUUUAGAACUCCAGCGAAGCCACAAAAGAAUGCUGCUUUGGAAAUGGAGAAACAUUCCAAGUAUGGUGUGGUGUUUUCAAGUGGAUUGUGGUUAUAGUCUCAGUUCACUGAACCAAACCUCUAGUGGACUGAUGCAGGAUCACUAGUCUUCAGUCCUUAUGAACUGAGUGAAGAGAUUCAAGGGGACUCAGAAGUUCAUGUUUGAAUGGAAGAAAUGCAGAGACUGUGUUCUCUCAUGGUUUGGGCACAAAGCUGUCCAUCCAGGUAGCUUUAAAAAAGAGACAAGAAAAUAAUCCGAUGGCCUUGCUGUGAUGAAUGGGGAAACCCAUGAGUAAGACCCAGGACAGAUGAACGCUGGAAAUACGAAGGCAACAAUCAUGGAGUCGGAGCAUCCCCAACAAAUGGGAGAAGUCCAAAGAGUGCUUUCCAGACAAAUCAUGCCAACCACAACGCUCAGCAUCUGUAAGCGCUGCUCAUUAGAUGAGUGUCUAGUUGGAUGGGAAGACUGAAGCU